rnacentral:lncRNA from 1 species
GUUGGAUGGAUGUCUGGCCAGGACACCACCUCCCAAGACCCUUUCAGUACCACGCGAUGCAGCAGGAAGAAAGAAGAAACAAAACAAAAGGAAAAACAAUCAAAAUACGUGGAUCAGCCACAAAAGGGCUCGCCUCCAUGGGGCAUGCAAACUUCACUAUGAAAAAGAAAUUUUACAAGAGGAGACCUCACCCUCAACCCUUGU